rnacentral:sRNA from 1 species
AGGUGCCACUCCGACAUUGCAGUUCCAGCGCGGUCCACACCCGCCUGACGGCUGCUCGCGACGUUUGAUUGGUG